rnacentral:lncRNA from 1 species
UCCGUGUACCAUAGAUUGUGGGUUUCAACAUGAAAUGUACAUGUCAUCGUGUUGUAUAUUUUUCCGCCUGCAUGAUAUGAGGCCUUUUAAUAAAAGGGAGAAUUUCCCAAUAUUUAAAUCAAAUAAUAACAUUAACACAUAAAAUAAUAAUUGAAUUUUUUUUUUAGGUUGCAGUAUAAAGACAAUAAUAGUGCAUUGACUUGACAUUCGGUCCGAAACGGGGAAAAAGCUCGGCAAAUCCUCGCUUUUCCAACUUUCUAAAUCUCAUCCUUAUAUCAUUGAUAUGUCAAGUCAACGCACACUUAUUGUCUAUGUAUGUGUAUGUUUUAAUAUUAUACAAAUCAGCAUAAGAAUAUAACAACUUCAAUGUUUUAAAAUCAUAAACAUAUUGGGUACGAGUUGAUGUAGGUAUGAGUUGGCAUAGCACCACAGCGACCUCGUGUGGAAUAUUGUGAAACAGCUUCAUUCUAGACUUGUCAAAAGUCUUGAUUUUUAA